rnacentral:lncRNA from 1 species
CUAUCAACAGGGAUUCAUUCCUCUCCAUAUCGACAAUGGAUAACCUAAUGCACUGGUCCAAUUUCCGUUCACCACAUUGGACUUCGUUUGAGUUGCCGAUUCUAAGAAACCAAUCCUUCCAUCCCUUGGUAGGGCUGGGCCAGGAACGGAAAGUGUCUUUCCAUAGAUCUAGAGAGAAGUUCUCGGCUCUAAAGGGGACUAUUUGUUUCUGCAUUUAUCAGAUCAGUGGGAUCUAGGUUUCCUAGUGGACCGAGGCACUGGAAGUGAGGU